UUGAUUUCUGUUGAGUAGCUUUUCAGUUCAGUAGCUAACUUAUUUCUUAACUCCUAAAAAUAUCUUGAUAAUAAAGGCAUUUCUACAAAGAGGAAAAGGGAAGGUUCCCUUUGAGGUAAAAUGGAAGGACUAGAAUGGAAUGCUUACUGUUAUACCUCUUAACUAUAACUCUUAAGGUGCCAAAAGUGUGCCAACAGCCUAAAUAAUUAUGUUUAUCUAGUACUCUGCAAGGAGAAAAGAAACUUGGCAGAUGUAUUAGUGGUUCCUGAUUUAUUAGAUCAUGUUGUUCUCGCUUUAGGAAACAUGGAGUUGGAACCUAAGCCAAUGUGACCCAGAAUUUCAUUCUGUCAAAUGCAGGGAGCACUAUUACAGUGAUGGUUCAUAGCACUGGGGACAGCUGGAGAAGGUCAAGGCCAGGUGAUCAGGAGGCAUGAAUGCCGUAAAGGUGGUACCAACAUAGGGAGAAAGGCUGGUCAUUCUAGGUUUGAAAGGAAGCAACUGGAAACUUCUUUUACUUCAGAAUCCUAUCAUAGAUUGGCCUUGAACUCUGGACGAAAGAUGUCUGAGGUAUGCUCACAAAUGGGGAGAGAAGGAAGUAUUAUGUAAGAUUAUCAUAGUUUGCUUCUGCUAGGUGGGUUGCAGAGAGAAAAGCAACAAUACCUCUCAGAGGUGACAUUGUUUUUCUUGUUUCUCAUCGUUAAUUAAUAUUUUACUUUAAAGGACUCUAAGGUGAGUCCUCUGUUAGGAAUGGUAUUUAAUAUUUAUUUUAUCAACACCUGCCAGGUGCAUCACAGUCAAUCUGCCCUCUGUCAACUACAAUAUUACCCAAGGUUGCAGAUGUAAAUGUCAGUGGCCAAAAGGAAAAAUAGUCCUGGGUUUAAACUGGCAGCUCAAGAAUGGAGAAAAAAUGUGGAAAAUACAUAGUAAAUGUGGAAUCCUCUAGAAACCAGCCUGUGAUUAGUCCUGGUAGCCACACUCAAGUCCAAGUGAUCAGAAACUCACAAUUCAGUAUGUCAGUUUCCAUCAUCAGCUGAUGUCACUGAUGAUGCUGGCACAUAUGUCGCUCCUACCUUUGUCAACCUGGGGACUCCUGGACGCUCACAAUAUCCAAAGAGAGACUUUCAUCAUGGACAGGCUUCCUUUAGCCAACGCUUGGACCCUGUGGUGCAAGGUGACAUUUGGUGACUGCUGGUGCCCUUAUUCCCUGGACAUCCGAACUGGGGCUUCCUUCCUAAAACUGAAGCCCGCAUUUCCUAGCAGUGAGACCUACUCCGUUCUUUUCAAAGAUGUGACUUGUGUUGUGCCUCUCUCCUGCUGUCCCGAGCUCAGUUACGGAAGGGAAUGACAGCGAGCUAAUCACAGAUUUUAAAAUUGAGCAAGUGUCAGGAAUUGCACCAAGUAUAUUACAUACCUUAUUAUCUUCUUUAAUCCUUACACUUAUCCUUGGAUAUAGGUAUACCUCUUCUUGUGAAGAAAUAGAGGCUUAGGACAUUAAGGAAAUUGCCAGGUAUUAGCCUGUUUAUAAGAGUCACAGAUGAAAGUCAACCAGGAAUCUUUAGAAUCCAAGGCUCUUAAUCACUGUGCUACACUGCUUCUGAUAAAAAUAAAAUAAUUAAAAAAAAAUUGAAAUCUCUUUUUAAUUCUUUCCCUGAAGACUGAAUAUUAUUCACCACCUUAGAGAUAAACAAACAACCAAAAACAAAACAAGCAAACCUCAAGACUCAGAGGAGUUAAGAAACUUGCUUUUGAUCUCAGGGGUUUGGGAUUUAAACUCAAAUUUGACUGCAGAGCUUGGAUUCUCGCUGUUGUGCUGCUUAUCCAGCAAUAUUUGCUGUUGUAUCAUCACCAUUAUCACCAUCUCACGAUCCUUAUAGAGCGUUUACUACGUGACAAGCUGUGUUCUUACAACUUGGCACAUAUCAUCUUAUUCAGGCCUCAUAAAAGCCCUGUGAGACAGCUCUAUGACCAUUCUGGUUAUACAAUCGAGGACACACAGUGUCGGGGUUUGAAUCAAGUGGCCGAGCUCACUGGGGAAUCUGGCCCAGGCCCAGCAUCCACUGCCUGACUUGCAUGGUGCUUCGUAAGUUACAGUGCUAUUUGAUUUGCGUUAAGCUGUACGUAAGUCCUGUAAGUCAAGUGUCUUUAUUACCAGCAUCCUACAGUUAAGAAAAUGGGUAGUUAGAAAGGAUAAGCAAUUCUCAAAAUGAAAGUAGCCAACAGGAGCUGGGCUCCAACAAGGACAGUCCCGGCCCAAAUUUCAUGCUGCCAAAUAGUAACCUGAGUUG